rnacentral:rRNA from 1 species
AGUGAACGCUGGCGGUAGGCCUAACACAUGCAAGUCGAACGGCAGCACAGUAAGAGCUUGCUCUUACGGGUGGCGAGUGGCGGACGAGUGAGGAAUACAUCGGAAUCUACUUUUUCGUGGGGGAUCACGUAGGGAAACUUACGCUAAUACCGCAUACGACCUACGGGUGAAAGCAGGGGAUCUUCGGACCUUGCGCGAUUGAAUGAGCCGAUGUCGGAUUAGCUAGUUGGCGGGGUAAAGGCCCACCAAGGCGACGAUCCGUAGCUGGUCUGAGAGGAUGAUAGGCCACACUGGAACUGAGACACGGUCCAGACUCCUACGGGAGGCAGCAGUGGGGAAUAUUGGACAAUGGGCGCAAGCCUGAUCCAGCCAUACCGCGGGGGUGAAAAAGGCCUUCGGGUUGUAAAGCCCUUUUGUUGGGAAAGAAAAGCAGCAGGUUAAUACCCCGCUGUUCUGACGGUACCCAAAAAAUAAGCACCGGCUAACUUCGUG